AGGACGAACGCUGGCGGCGUGCUUAACACAUGCAAGUCGAGCGGUAAGGCCUUUCGGGGUACACGAGCGGCGAACGGGUGAGUAACACGUGGGUGAUCUGCCCUGCACUCUGGGAUAAGCCUGGGAAACUGGGUCUAAUACCGGAUAUGACCUGCUCUCGCAGUGGGGGUGGGUGGAAAGAUUUAUCGGUGCAGGAUGGGCCCGCGGCCUAUCAGCUUGGUUGGUGGGGUAAUGGCCCCACCAAGGCGACGACGGGUAGCCGACCUGAGAGGGUGACCGGCCACACUGGGACUGAGACACGGCCCAGACUCCUACGGGAGGCAGCAGUGGGAAUAUUGCACAAUGGGCGAACGCCUGAUGCAGCGACGCCGCGUGAGGAUGAAGGCCUUGGGUUGUAAACCUCUUUCAGCAGGACGAAGCGACAAGUGACGGUACCUGACAGAAGAAGACGACCGACUAACUAACGUCGACCAGCACGCCGAC
rnacentral:rRNA from 1 species